CCUUCAAGGUUUGACCAAAUUGCCAACUAUUAGGGGUAACUAUGGUUCUGUCACAUGUUAAAGAUGGCCUUACUGGAUCCCAUCUAUAAUUUUCAGAUUAGUAAACCAAUUAUUAAUAUUUUACGUACCAUUUUUGUAUUCUUUCAACAGCAAAUCCUCCUCUAUUUACCCUUUUUCCAACUAUUUGAAGUUAUUAAAAAGAAAAUGAAGAACCUAAAAACAAAUUAAUACAAUUAAUUAUUCAUGCACAUAUGGUCUGAUUUCACGUUUCAACAAAAGAGACCCAAUAUUCCACCAUUUAAAUUAAUUAAAUUGUGUUUUAACAACAUAAUCCAAUGAAGAUAGUCAAAAGGUGUGACGCGAAGGCAAUGAGUGGCCAAUAAUUUUAUAGCCAAAUCUUUAAUACUGUACAAGUAAUAAAGAUGAGAGUUUCAAAUGUGAUAUGACCAAACAUCAACAAGGUUUGAAACCCG
rnacentral:lncRNA from 1 species